GUCCUUUGGCCGUCCGAGUUGUAGUCUGGAGAAGUGCUUUCCGCGCUGGACCGUGUACAAGUCUCUUGGAACAGAGCGUCAUAGAGGGUGAGAAUCCCGUCUUUGACACGGACUACCAGUGCUUUGUGAUGCGCUCUCAAAGAGUCGAGUUGUUUGGGAAUGCAGCUCAAAAUGGGUGGUAAAUUCCAUCUAAGCUAAAUAUUGGCGAGAGACCGAUAGCGAACAAGUACCGUGAGGGAAAGAUGAAAAGCACUUUGGAAAGAGAGUUAAACAGUACGUGAAAUUGCUGAAAGGGAAACGCUUGAAGUCAGUCGCGUUGGCCAGGACUCAGCCUUGCUUUUUUGCUUGGUGCAUUUUCUGGUUGACGGGCCAGCAUCGAUUUUGACCGCUGGAAAAAGAUUAGGGGAAUGUGGCACCUUCGGGUGUGUUAUAGCCCUUAGUCACAUACAGUGGUUGGGAUCGAGGACCGCAGCACGCCUUUAUGGCCGGGGUUCGCCCACGUUCGUGCUUAGGAUGCUGGCGUAAUGGCUUUAAACGACCCGUCUUGAAACACGGACCAAGGAGUCUAACAUGCCUGCGAGUGUUUGGGUGGAAAACCCGAGCGCGUAAUGAAAGUGAAAGUUGAGAUCCCUGUCGUGGGGAGCAUCGACGCCCGGACCUGAACUUCGGUGAUGGAUCUGCGGUAGAGCAUGUAUGUUGGGACCCGAAAGAUGGUGAACUAUGCCUGAAUAGGGUGAAGCCAGAGGAAACUCUGGUGGAGGCUSGUAGCGAUUCUGACGUGCAAAUCGAUCGUCAAAUUUGGGUAUAGGGCGAAAGACUAAU
rnacentral:rRNA from 1 species